CUUCUUCUUCUUCUUCUUCGUCUUCGUCUCUCACGCUCUCUCCUUCUGCGCGUGGUCCAUUCCGGAAGAUCAGGGCCGUUGAUCGGGCGGUAAAAACACGGGAAUUCAAUUUAUCGCGAGAAUUCGACAUUUGUCGUGUAGGGAGAAAAGCUGACGCGUGAAACUUAGUCCUUUCCUUUUCCGGUGACCGAGAAAAAAGUGAAAGUUUGAAAGCAAGAGAGAGUUUUCAACUUUCUGCAUUUAUU
rnacentral:lncRNA from 1 species